rnacentral:lncRNA from 1 species
GAAAAUUUCAGAAAAUCAAAAUGGCUAAGGCUUUGGGUAAAAAACUACUAUUCCAUUAACUUGCUCCUAUAAUUCCUAAAGUUUUGAAUUCGUGAAGAAAUCUUUGAUUCAAUGGGGUUUAAUAUGGUUAAUUUGGCUUUCACAAAAUGAUUUUUAGUUGAAUUUGUGAUUGGAUUCUGAUCUUCAUUCGAAAUUGGGGUAAAUAAAUUGGAUUUGAGGCUGAUUUCUACUGGUCUUUCUACUGCUGCUCGACCUCUGAUCACCCUGUUUUGUUCAUCUCAUACUUCAGUUACCUUUUAGCCUAUAAGUAAAGAAUGACUGAUGAGCGUGUAAUUCAAGUGGAGUUCUAGUUGAAUGAAAGUUGCGUUGAAUCUAAUUUCUCUAUUCCUCUUACUAUGUUCAAUAUUAUGUAAUUAGACUUUGAACUACAAAUGUUAAUUAGGUAUUCUUCUUUUUCUGAAUUUGUGUGUGAGAGAGUAAACAGCAGUGGUAAUUUUCAUUUGUAUUGAUGAAUGAACUACUGACUCUAUCUAUUUAGUUUUCUUUUAAUGAAAUCUGAGGGAAUGCUGAGUAAAGG